AUCCAAUAGUUAGAACAUCCAAACAGACACCCGCCUUCAAAACGUCCCCCUAGAGCCCGUGACUCAUAGCCAGUUCCCUCCCACUCGAUCCCAGUAAGAGGGGAACACGAACCCAUAAUGUAGUCACUACAUCAGCCCCCCCAGUGUUCACCUCAAUAUUCAAAAUCCCCACGGCGAGGAGGGUGCUUGGCCCGGCCCCUACGACUGUAGGCAAAAUCCGGAGGUGCGGGAGGAGGCGUGACAUCGUCCAUCACAUCCUCUUGUUGGGCGGGGGGCAGCGACGACCGGAGGGCCGCAAGCUGUUGGGGCUUGUAGAGGUUGGAGGGGGGGACGGCCACGGCGUGGCAGGGGGGGUAGGACGGGGGGGGGGGGCGGCCUUUUUCUGUCACUCGAAAGCCACGGACAGAGGUUUGCAUACUGGACAAAUGAGGCCACAGCAUUGCUCCAAGGAUCACUGCAGCUGAUCUACAGGAUCCCGAAGACCAGAAAAAGGGAUCAUGAGGUGAGCAUGAUGUUGAUGGCAGAGGACACCCAGUGUCAUGCUCCUUUUUGUUAUAGACUCAUUAAUGCAAUUCAGGUUUCUUAUUCUUACAUGUCUAUAUUGAUACAUAAAUAAUUUUCCCUCAAAGGUUCAGUUUGAAAAGGCCGACAGGUGCUUCAUAUUGGAGAUGCCAACAUCUGUGCUUGAUGAAAUCCUCAAAGAGGUGGUGCUCCAGGAAGGAGAUAAUGUCUACCUGACAUUGGCUCUGGUGUGUACCACAUUCAGAGACAUUGUGUCCACCAAUUAUUUGAGAAGACGGGCACAUUUUCAGUGGCUUGACAGUGUUGCUACAUGGAGUAGGUUUUCUGCAACGUACAAAAAAGCUUUCUGCACCAUGUACACCAUUGACACCUGCCUUGGAUGUGGACGACUAUAUAAAAACUGCACACCAGGAUAUGUUGGGACAGGAGAAAGGGGAGCGCUAGAAGCAAUCUAUUCUGAAGCUGAAGAUCCGGGAUACUGCAAUCACUUCUGCAGCCAAUUGCUAUAGAUGUCCCUCUUGCCUGUCCUCCAGCCCCUGCACGUCGAGGAGCAGACACCCAGAGGACAUUACUCACAUGUUGGACUUUUGAGAAUACUUUGCAAAAUCUCAUGACACUGUUAUUGUUGUAAAUAUAUAUAUAGUUAUAUGUCCUUAAGAUGUUUGUGUUAAUGUUUGUGUUGUUGUUUCUGCAUACAAGGUUGACCUGUACUUAGUUAGUUUCGAUUGAAUAUGCAUGUUAAGUAUUACCUUAGUUGGUUUCACUAGUGACUUUUGUUGUACAUAGUAACUUUAAAUUGUUACCCUUUUUCCACAUUUGUAUAUAGUCACUGUUAGUACCUGGAAGCAGUAGGAGUGAGCUGCCUUUUCUUUUGACUUGUUUUCUCAUGUUUUUUCAUAGUUUAGGAUGUUAGUUUUAGUGAUGGUCUUUUUUAUUAUUUACUUUGAAAUAGGGUUUAGGUAGCUUGAACUUCCCUUUAAAAUCUAGUUUGUUUUGUUUAAUUAUUUUGGCCUUGGUUCACUCCGAAGAGAAGCUUCAUUUUCAGUUUGGUGUAUUGUUUGUGUGCUAAGCAGCAAUAAACUGCUUGUCAUUUUGA